GUGGGGAAUUUUGGACAAUGGGCGCAAGCCUGAUCCAGCAAUGCCGCGUGCAGGAAGAAGGCCUUCGGGUUGUAAACUGCUUUUGUACGGAACGAAACGGUCCGGGUUAAUACCCUGGGCUAAUGACGGUACCGUAAGAAUAAGCACCGGCUAACUACGUGCCAGCAGCCGCGGUAAUACGUAGGGUGCAAGCGUUAAUCGGAAUUACUGGGCGUAAAGCGUGCGCAGGCGGUUUUGUAAGACAGGCGUGAAAUCCCCGGGCUCAACCUGGGAAUUGCGCUUGUGACUGCAAGGCUGGAGUGCGGCAGAGGGGGAUGGAAUUCCGCGUGUAGCAGUGAAAUGCGUAGAUAUGCGGAGGAACACCGAUGGCGAAGGCAGCCCCCUGGGCCUGUACUGACGCUCAUGCACGAAAGCGUGGGGAGCAAACAGGAUUAGAUACCCUAGUAGUCC
rnacentral:rRNA from 1 species